rnacentral:rRNA from 2 species
UUGGAGAGUUUGAUCCUGGCUCAGGAUGAACGCCGGCGGUGUGCCUAAUACAUGCAAGUCGAACGCGUUGGCCCAACUGAUUGACGAUGCUUGCAUCAGAUUGACGUUGGAUUUCUAAUGAGUGGCGGACGGGUGAGUAACACGUAGGUAACCUGCCCAGAAGCGGGGGAUAACAUCUGGAAACAGGUGCUAAUACCGCAUAACAAUUCAAACCGCAUGGUUUGAAUUUAAAAGAUGGCUCUGCUAUCACUUCUGGAUGGACCUGCGGCGCAUUAGCUUGUUGGUAGGGUAAUGGCCUACCAAGGCAGUGAUGCGUAGCCGAGUUGAGAGACUGAUCGGCCACAAUGGGACUGAGACACGGCCCAUACUCCUACGGGAGGCAGCAGUAGGGAAUCUUCCACAAUGGGCGCAAGCCUGAUGGAGCAACACCGCGUGAGUGAAGAAGGGUUUCGGCUCGUAAAGCUCUGUUGUUGAAGAAGAACGUGCAUGAGAGUAACUGUUCAUGCAGUGACGGUAUUCAACCAGAAAGUCACGGCUAACUACGUGCCAGCAGCCGCGGUAAUUAA